UUUUCCAAUAUGUGAGAUGCGAGAAUGAAGCUCCAAAUAACUCGCCUUCAAACGCGGGUGGAACUGCACUCUUUUUUAGGAGAUAGAAGGAAGAGCAUGAAGAGGUUUUUUUUUCCUGAGGUCGGAAGCUGAAUCGAGAACUUCUAUUCAUUUUGCUACUGAGCCAAUAGCUUAAUAAAGGACAAUAAAGGAUCUACACCAAAGAAAAAAUGCAGGUUGGUUCCUGUUGAAUUGAAAGGGCGGA
rnacentral:misc_RNA from 1 species